rnacentral:rRNA from 1 species
AAGGGAUGAACCUUUAGUCCAGCUAAGGUGCCUAAGAUCUCAUUAAUAGAUACCAUAAAAGGAGUCGGUCGAUAUAGACAGUAGGGAUGUGGUCCUGAUAGUAGACAUCAUAUAAUGAGUGUGUUCAAACUCACCUACCGAAUCGACCGGCCCUGAAAAUGGAUGGCGUUUAAAUGAGACACCGAUACUGGACCAUUACAGCUGAAAUAAUGUAGUAAACUGUAAUGGGUAGAAGGGCGUAUUGGUAGCAAUAAAGUAUGUAAAGUGAUUACAUAUGAAGCUUCCAAUAGUGUAGAUCUUGGUGGAAGUAGCAAUUUUAUAAAAGGAAACGCCUUUUAGGCUUAAGUGGAGAAGGGUUCCAUGUCAACAGAAUUUGAACAUGGGUUAGUCGGUCCUAAGUCUUUGCUUAACUGUUUUAAAAAUGUGGACAUUAAAACUUAUAAAAUAGUUUGUGUCCAAGCAAGGCGAAAGGGAAUAUGGUUAAUAUUCCAUAACCAGGCUAUGGAUAAACAUAUAAAUAAUAAAAUAUUUAUAUGUAAUGCGGUAACGCAAUCUAUCUCGAUGGCAUUGUUUAAUAUAUUGGGGAAGAGUUUUCUUUUCUAUUUAACAAGUUAAAUUACCCAGGAAACAAGUCACUUGGAGAAUGGGUAUUAAACUUGGAAGAGCGUUGCACUGUGAGCUACGUCCGAUUAAUAUUAAACAAUCCUUGAAAAAUCGAGGGUGAUAUUUAUUUUCAAGCCUGUCCGUACCGAACUCCGCAUCAGGUCUCCUAGGUGAGUAACCUCUAGCCCUGGAAGAAUGUAGGUAAGGGAAGUCGGCAAAUUAGAUCCGUAACUUCGGGAUAAAGAUUGGCUCUAAGGAUUGUUCUUGAUGAGCUAGUAUUAUUAUUUUAUACUAAUAUAUGUAAAAAUCAGAUUUUUAUUAUAUACUAUUAUAGUUUAAUAUACAUGCGUGUAAUGUUAUGUAUUAAACUUUAUUGAUUAAUAUAUAAUAUUACUUUACGUCAAGUUAUAAUCAAUCAACUUWGAACUGUUACUAACUAAGGGAAUCCGACAGUUUAAUUAAAACUUAGCGUUUUGAUGACCAGAAAUGGUGUUGACAAAACGUGAGUCCUGCCCAGUGCUCUGAAUGUCAAAUGACGGAAACGCCCCCCAAGCACGGGUCAACGGCGGGAGUAACUAUGACUCUCUUAAGGUAGCCAAAUGCCUCGUCAUGUAAUUAGUGACGCGCAUGAAUGGAUUAACGAGAUUCCCACUGUCCCUACCUACCAUCCAGCGAAACCACAGCCAAGGGAACGGGCUUGGCUAAGACAGCGGGGAAAGAAGACCCUGUUGAGCUUAACUCUAGUCUGAUUUAGUGAGAAAACAUAAAGGGUGUAGAAUAAGUGGGAGAAGGGUCAAACAGGACCUAAUAUAUAUUUCGGUAUAUAUUAACCUGCCUUCGUCGAUGAAAUACCACUACUUUUAUCGUUUUCACACUUAUUCGGUAAUUCGGGAUAUGUUAUACUUCAAGUAUAUACUAUCUUAGUUGCAAAAAGAUAGAUAUUAUUCUAUCAACCCAUAUUGUAUAUGUUAUUUAUGUUGUGUAUUUAUAAUAUAUAAUAUAAUUAUUGUAUACCCAUCCGAUAAAAUAAUCAGAUGGGGAGUUCGGCUGGGGCGGCACAUAGUUUAAAUAACAACAACUAUGUCCCAAGGUAAGCUCAAUGUGGAUGGAAACCACAUGUUGAGUAUAAGGGCAUAAGCUUACUUUAUUUGAAUUUUCAGUAUGAAUACAAAACGUGAAAACGUGGCCUAUCGAUCCUCUAAUCAUUCAAAGUUUUGAAGAUAGAGGUGUCAGAAAAGUUACCACAGGGAUAACUGGCUUGUGGCGGCCAAGCGUUCAUAGCGACGCCGCUUUUUGAUCCUUCGAUGUCGGCUCUUCCUAUCAUUGGGUUGCAGCAAGCCCAAAGUGUCGGAUUGUUCACCCGUAAAA